UGAUAGUAGGUAGAGGUACUAACUGGUAGUGAAAACGCUGUGUUAGCUAAUUCAAUAAUUUCCAAAAGUCGACGAAAAAUAUCUGCCAGUAUAUCAAUAGAUUCUGUCAAACUUAAUUGUAGGUCCUUAUUCAAUAUAUUACUGGAUGCUGUUAAACUUUCAACCUUUGAUCGCCAUAUAAUCAGACGUGUAAUUGUAAAAUUUAGUAUGAAGAUAGCGUAAAUCAUGUUUAUAUCAUAAGCCACCCGUAUUAUGUUGAAAAUAAAAUCAGCUGCGCCUCUUCUAUAAAGCAUUUCAGUUGAUAUCGUUGCAGUCAAAUGAAAAGUCAUCAAAAGACAAAAUAAACCCCAAACCACUUUUUUGUCUUCUUUAAAAACUUUAAAGCUAUUGUUGUGAAGCUUUUUAUCAAUUUUUUGGAUGGACAAUAUGAUUUUGAUAACACUACUACCUUCGGUCACUACACCAAUGAAAUUCAAAAUAAACUCAGUAACAACAGACAGCAAUGCCACACAAACCAUUACACUUAAAGAGAUAAUUUGGUAGUUAAAAUAUGUCGAUAUGUCAUUAUUCGUUGUGCAAAUAAAUCCAAUCAAGCCGACGUGAACUAAAAACGAUAAAAAUAGAAAAGUUUUGGAAUUUGACAUAAUAAAGCUGUCUUUAAUUUGAAAUCGAGAUGAAAGAAUGCAACGAUUCACAACUAUUAGUGGUUUUAGGAUAUGUUGUAACUCCUUUGAAACAUAGUUAUUCAGCAAUAAUUCCAUUGACACAACCAUCGUUUAUAACAGCAGCAAAUUUAAAAUAUACUGAAAGUAACACAAUAUUUUUGUUAUGAUCACGGAAAACAAGGAGCACUUUUUAUUACUCAUUGCAUGUUUUUCCAAUUACGAUAAUUAAGUAGGAAACUAUUUUGAAGUAACAGUCGCGUGUCUCUUUCUAUCGUUUUCAAUUCUCAAUAAACAACAAAUUUCCUUCGGCUACGUCAAAAGAAAUUGCUCGCAAUUAAAGUAGAUUGAUUCCUGUUAUUGUUUAUAUUUGUGUGUUGUCGUAUAAAUAUUAGUUUCUAAAAUUAAAUGUGGUCAGCCAGUUUACGGAAGUGCCUAUUAUUGUAAAAGCCUUUUCUAGUGUCAAUGUAGUUUCUAACGUGUUGCAGGAAUACGUAAUAUCCAACAUUACUCUUAUCUAUUACGUUAAAAAACCAUGCUUUCUUAUUCUAAUUGAUUAGUAUUCACUUAUUCAUGAAGUAAGGUUGACCUUUAGUAUUAAAUAAUAGUAAGAGGGUGGUUCAGACAUUAAUCAAAUAGUAUUUAUUUCACAGGGUUAAAACAUUACAUUUAAUUACAAAUUUAAAGAAGAUCAGUUGCAAAAUGUUUUUGUUUAAAGAAAUUCAAAAUGUUGUCAAGCCACUAACAAUAACUGAUUCCAUUUUCUUUUCAUCAAAAUUUUGCUGUAAAGGCACUUCAAUCGUACCCAACUCAAGGAUUUACAAAAUAGUGUCAAUGUUUGCCAAUACAAUUUUUAUAACUUUACAUUGCCUGAGAAUAAAUUUGACAGAGAUAAAGAAAUACGAUAUUGACUUUUUAAAUACUUUAGUGGUACUUAAUUUAACAUCCAUAAUUCUGGAAUACAUGGUUAACUUCUUUUCGGGUGUACUCAAAAGCGACUAUGUUGUCCACAUUAUGCAAAACAUUGAAAACAUUGAUAGAAAACUAAAAAUUAAUUCUUUGGAACUAAAGGAAUCUAAGUUACUAGUAAGAGCUGUGUUUAUGUUUUCUGUUUCCUGCCAAAUUUUAACAGCAACCAGUAACUACUUCGUAUUCGGGCAAACAAGUAUUCUACAGUUUUGCAUAACAUCAUGUAGAUUCAGCCUCGAUGUUAAUAUAAUCUAUAGCGUUUUUUUCGUUCAUUAUGCAACAAAUCGACUAAAUAAAUGGAUUGUAAAAGUUAAAGAUGUUUGUAUAAAUUCAGCUUUAGUACCAGUAGAAGUACCUACUAUGGCUAAUAUUUCAAAGGAUACCGAAACUAUGCUAAAAGUUUUUAGAAGUGUUAUUAGUAUUCUUAAGCUAACAGAGAAGGUUUUUGGCCUCCCGAUAUUUUACGCUGCUGUUGAGAUUUUUGGCUUGUGUCUGAUUCAUGUACAGGCUAAUUUGACCAUGGCACCACCAACAGAACCUCAUACUCCAGGACACAUAUUUAUGUAAAUUUUUCAUUUCUUUACAUGGGUAUUCAAGUUAUUUAUCUUACUGACUUUACUUUGCGUGAAAUGUGAAGUUUUCAAUACAAUGAUGGCCAAAGCUAAUGCAGUUUGCUUGAAUGUGUUAAAAAAAUCCAAAGAUGAAGAAAUACGAAGGUUCUGCAAGAACGUGUUGCGUGUGAGUGCGUGUGAAUACGGCGCGUGGAGCGCGUGCGGGCUGUUCACGGUGGACGCCAGGCUGCCGCUGCGAGUGAUCGGCGUCGUCGCCACCUACACCGUCGUGCUGCUGCAGUUCGCACUCUUGUAGGCUUUGAUAGUCAUACAUGGACCAACAACUUAUAGAUAAAGGAGUAUGUACGUAGUAAGUGAUUAUUCCUUUGCAGAUUCUGUUAGGAUAGAUUAUACGGAUACAGUCAUAUCAGUAUAAUCACCGGAACACAGUAGCUACAGUGAUAAUUAUUCAUUCAAACAUGUUUAAAAAACAAAAAGGAGGCUAUUCUCUUAUGAUGGCUGUCGGAACUGCUGUCUUUAUCAGAAUGUUGUACAAUUAUUAUA